GCACAAGCGGUGGAGCAUGUGGUUUAAUUCGACGCAACGCGCAGAACCUUACCAGCCCUUGACAUCCCGGUCGCGGACUCCAGAGAUGGAGUUCUUCAGUUCGGCUGGACCGGAGACAGGUGCUGCAUGGCUGUCGUCAGCUCGUGUCGUGAGAUGUUGGGUUAAGUCCCGCAACGAGCGCAACCCCCGUCCUUAGUUGCUACCAUUUAGUUGAGCACUCUAGGGAGACUGCCGGUGAUAAGCCGCGAGGAAGGUGGGGAUGACGUCAAGUCCUCAUGGCCCUUACGGGCUGGGCUACACACGUGCUACAAUGGCGGUGACAAUGGGAUGCUAAGGGGCGACCCUUCGCAAAUCUCAAAAAGCCGUCUCAGUUCGGAUUGGGCUCUGCAACUCGAGCCCAUGAAGUUGGAAUCGCUAGUAAUCGUGGAUCAGCACGCCACGGUGAAUACGUUCCCGGGC
rnacentral:rRNA from 1 species